rnacentral:rRNA from 1 species
UGGGGAAUUUUGCACAAUGGGGGAAACCCUGAUGCAGCGACGCCGCGUGAUUUAGAAGGCCUUCGGGUUGUAAAAAUCUUUUCUAUGGGAAGAAAAUGACAGUACCAUAGGAAUAAGGACCGGCUAAUUACGUGCCAGCAGCCGCGGUAAUACGUAAGGUCCGAGCGUUGUCCGGAAUCAUUGGGCGUAAAGGGUACGUAGGCGGGUAAGCAAGUUAGAAGUUAAAUCCUCUAGCUCAACUAUAGUAAGCUUUUAAAACUGCUCAUCUUUAGGUAUGGAAGGGAAAGUGGAAUUCCUAGUGUAGCGGUGAAAUGCGCAGAUAUUAGGAGGAAUACCGGUGGCGAAGGCGACUUUCUGGCCAUAACCUGACGCUGAGGUACGAAAGCGUGGGUAGCAAACAGG